GACGAACGCUGGCGGCGUGCUUAACACAUGCAAGUCGAACGGAAAGGCCCUGCUUUUGUGGGGUGCUCGAGUGGCGAACGGGUGAGUAACACGUGAGUAACCUGCCCUUGACUUUGGGAUAACUUCAGGAAACUGGGGCUAAUACCGGAUAGGAGCUCCUGCUGCAUGGUGUGGGUUGGAAAGUUUCGGCGGUUGGGGAUGGACUCGCGGCUUAUCAGCUUGUUGGUGGGGUAGUGGCUUACCAAGGCUUUGACGGGUAGCCGGCCUGAGAGGGUGACCGGCCACAAUGGGACUGAGAUACGGCCCAGACUACUACGGGAGGCAGCAGUGGGGAAUAUUGCACAAUGGGCGGAAGCCUGAUGAAGCAACGCCGCGUGCGGGAUGACGGCCUUCGGGUUGUAAACCGCUUUCGCCUGUGACGAAGCGUGAGUGACGGUAAUGGGUAAAGAAGCACCGGCUAACUACGUG
rnacentral:rRNA from 1 species